CCCCCCGCAUUAGGUGAUGUAGGUUCCUUCAUCCCCCUCCACCCUCCCCCCUCCUCGUUGGGGGGCGGGGGGGGGGGGGGGAGGAGCUGUGGGAUCUGGAUGUCUGGGGGGCACCAGCAGGACUCUACAGGAGAUCAGAACAUAGGGGGUCUCUAGUGGUCUCCAGGUCUCUAGUGGUCUCUAGUGGUCUCUAGUUCUCUAGGGGGGUCUCUAGUGGUCUCUAAUGGUCUCUAGUGGUCUCUAUUGGUCUCCAGGUCUCUUUUGGUCUCUAGUGGUCUCUAGUGGUCUCCAGGUCUCAAGCGGUCUCUAGUGGUCUCCAGUGGUCUCCAGGUCUCAAGCGGUCUCUAGGGGUCUCUAGUGGUCUCUAGUGGUCUCCAGGUCUCAAGCGGUCUCUAGCGGUCUCUAGUGGUCUCUAGUGGUCUCUAGUGGUCUCCAGGUCUCAAGCGGUCUCUAGGGGUCUCUGGUGGUCUCUGGUGGUCUCUAGUGGUCUCUAGUGGUCUCUGGUGGUCUCUAGGGGUCUCUAGGGGUCUCUGGUGGUCUCUGGUGGUCUCUAGUGGUCUCUAGUUGUCUCUAGUGGUCUCUGGUGGUCUCUAGCGGUCUCUAGCGGUCUCUAGUGGUCGCUAGUGGUCUCCAGGUCUCUGCUGGGCUCCAGGUCUCUUGUGGUCUUUAGUGGUCUCUAGAAUCUCAGAAAAGAUAAAAAAAGAUUUCUGUAAACUUGUUUGCUUCUCUUUCUUUACUUCUGUUUUUGAGUUGUCAUGGAGUGGAUUAAACCGUAUCUUUAUAGUUAUGACGUGAACCCAAAAGAUAACGACAUUGAAUAAAUAUUUUAUUUUUGACCAUUUUAAAGAGAUACUGUAUGGAUUAAUUUAUGUACUUUGAUUGCAGGAUCCAGCCCCCUGAAUAAAUAUAUAAAAAGUAAAAAGUAAAGUAAAGAGAAGACUAUCGGGCCUUGUUUGUUUUGCAGGGAGUUUGUGGAUCUUAGUGCAGUGUUUUCUAAUGCUGUCGAUGUGUUAACUCUUUUGAACGUGGGUCCCUUCAGAAUAUGUGAAUCUUGACGCCUCGGUCCUGGGCUGUGUUGGAAUUGGCUGAGGGUGGGUUCCCCCUGUACGGUGGACACUGUACAAGGAAAACUGCUCACUGUACAGGGGUACGGGGAUCCACACCCUCAUGAGCUCCAGAAGCCAGGCUCUGUGGUAGGAACACAGGCUGUGACCGCCGCAUUACGGGGGAAUGAAAGCGCUAUGCAUCAUGGGAGAUAGUGCUGAAGUGUGCAUCAGGUUUGCACUUAUUUGUGGGUAUUAAGUAGUGCACGAUGUCGGGCCCAAGUGAGCCAGUUCCUACACAGCCUGGAGUUCUGGUUUUCUAACCUUUGACCUUUCACCCCACUUGUCAGCCUCCAUGUUGAGUCACAGGACACUGUACAGGACAUGAAAUGGACGCCUUUGUUGUGGUCGUGUUGCUGUUUCUCUGGUGCUCUGAGGAAACAGAGAGUGGGUUUCUGUGGUCGACCCGAAUAAGGGAAGAAAAUGACAUGUCUGUCUUUUGCACUAAUUUAAUAAAGGCGUUACUGAAAGAAGAACAAA